CUGAGAAUAAAAAUGCAUAUUGACAGGCCUAACUUUCCCUAUAUUAAGACCACGCUUGUGUCCCCAGACCUAGUUCUCUACCUAGGUCUAGUUUUAUAAAUGCUGGUGAUAAAC
rnacentral:snoRNA from 1 species